rnacentral:tRNA from 1 species
GCCUUCGUGGUGUAAUGGUCAACACACUUGGCGCGUAUUCGAGAGGCCCAUGGUUCGAUUCCCGGCUAGGGCA